rnacentral:lncRNA from 1 species
GCCGUGGAGGAAUCCGCCCCAGCGAUCCCAGCGGUGCCGCCCCCCGCCCAAGCAAAAGCUGCCUUCGUCUUCUCGGUUGCCUCAAGGGCUCAAGACAGACAAAUAAAAUAACUUUAACAUUUUAAGAAUUAAGCCACGCAUUUUGAACUUGUCGCCGUUUCAUCCGGCUCACGCACGACGUUCCAUUUACCUGCGCACCGAGAGCACCCCACGCGCUUUGCCGCCCGGCGCUUCGGCCCCGCCGCGCUCCGCGGCCACAUCCGAGCGGCCCAGCGCAGCCCCGGCGGGUCCCGCCUCCGCCCCCGGCCCGCGGGCACCUGAGCGCGGCGGCUGCGCGGGGGGCGAGCGGGCGGGGCCGGCCCGGCCCGGCCCUCACAUGCGCGGCGCCGCGGGAGCCAUUGGCCGCCGCCCCGCCGGCCCCGCCGCCGCCGGCAGCCGGUGCUGUCCGCACGCCGAGCCAUGCGGGUGCGCGCUGCAGGACGCCGCUAGGAGCCCAGCCCGCCCCGCCUCUGCCCGCCCGCAUGGCAACGCCGCGGGACUGACCGCCGCCGAGAAGCUCUGUGCCCCCGCCGCUCGCACGGCUCGGUUUGGUUCGGCUCAGCUCGGUUCGGCCGGGCGGCUCUCGGGGACCGCAGCCCGCAGAGCCGGCCCUGAGGAGGAGUCUGUGGCGCUUGUCAAAAUGAGAGAGUGA